rnacentral:rRNA from 1 species
AAUCACUGGAAGGAGUUUUCGGACAACGGAAGGUGAGGACAGUGGCGGACGGGUGAGUAACGCGUGAGGAACCUGCCUUUCAGAGGGGGACAACAGUUGGAAACGACUGCUAAUACCGCAUGACACAUAGAGAUCGCAUGGUUUUUAUGUCAAAGAUUUAUCGCUGAAAGAUGGCCUCGCGUCUGAUUAGCUAGUUGGUGAGGUAACGGCCCACCAAGGCGACGAUCAGUAGCCGGACUGAGAGGUUGACCGGCCACAUUGGGACUGAGAUACGGCCCAGACUCCUACGGGAGGCAGCAGUGGGGAAUAUUGGGCAAUGGGCGCAAGCCUGACCC